AGAGCGAACGCUGGCGGCAGGCCUAAUACAUGCAAGUCGAACGGAUCCUUCGGGAUUAGUGGCGGACGGGUGAGUAACACGUGGGAACGUACCCUUUGGUUCGGAACAACUCAGGGAAACUUGAGCUAAUACCGAAUGUGCCCUUCGGGGAAAAGAUUUAUCGCCAUUGGAGCGGCCCGCGUCUGAUUAGCUAGUUGGUAGGGUAAAGGCCUACCAAGGCUACGAUCAGUAGCUGGUCUGAGAGGAUGAUCAGCCACACUGGGACUGAGACACGGCCCAGACUCCUACGGGAGGCAGCAGUAGGGAAUCUUGCGCAAUGGGCGAAAGCCUGACGCAGCCAUGCCGCGUGAAUGACUGAAGGUCUUAGGAUUGUAAAAUUCUUUCAGCGGGGACGAUAAUGACGGUACCCGCAGAAGAAGCCCCGGCUAACUUCGUGCCAGCAGCCGC
rnacentral:rRNA from 1 species